UACGUAGGGUGCAAGCGUUGUCCGGAAUUAUUGGGCGUAAAGCGCGUGUAGGCGGCGGCGUUAGUCGGAUGUGAAAUCCCUCAGCUCAACUGAGGAAGUGCAUUCGAUACUGCGUCGCUUGAAUGUCGGAGGGGAUGGCGGAAUUCCCGGUGUAGAGGUGAAAUUCGUAGAUAUCGGGAGGAACACCUGUGGCGAAGGCGGCCAUCUGGACGACGAUUGACGCUGAGACGCGAAAGCGUGGGUAGCAAACAGG
rnacentral:rRNA from 1 species